rnacentral:misc_RNA from 1 species
GAUGAAGAACGCAGCGAAAUGCGAUAAGUAAUGUGAAUUGCAGAAUUUAGUGAAUCAUCGAAUCUUUGAACGCAUAUUGCGCCCGCCAGCACUCUGGCGGGCAUGCCUGUUCGAGCGUCAUUUCAACCCUCAGGCCUCGCGUCUGGCGUUGGGGCGCUGCGGCCCUCCCGCAGGCCCCCAAAUUUAGCGGCGGAUUCCCCGCGGCCCUGAGCGCAGUAGAGAGUAAAAACUUUAACGCUCCGGCGGCCGUGGCGCGGUUCUGCCUCUUUCCCAAUAGCGCCAAUAGCGCCACCCCCAAAAAAAGUUGACCUCGGAUCAGGUAGGACUACCCGCUGAACUUAAGCAUAUCAAUAAGCGGAGGA